GCAUUGGUGGUUCAGUGGUAGAAUUCUCGCCUGCCACGCGGGACCUGGUUCGAUUCCCGCCAAUGCA